UACGUAGGGGGCAAGCGUUGUCCGGAAUUACUGGGCGUAAAGCGCACGUAGGCGGCUUUGUAAGUUAGAGGUGAAAGCCCGGGGCUCAACUCCGGAAUUGCCUUUGAAACGGGAUCGCUUGAGUCCGAGAGAGGAUGGCGGAAUUCCUAGUGUAGAGGUGAAAUUCGUAGAUAUUCGGAAGAACACCAGUGGCGAAGGCGACUCGCUGGACAGGUAUUGACGCUGAGGUGCGAAAGCGUGGGGAGCAAACAGG
rnacentral:rRNA from 1 species